rnacentral:rRNA from 1 species
GGCCUUGACAUACUAAGAACUUUCCAGAGAUGGAUUGGUGCCUUCGGGAACUUAGAUACAGGUGCUGCAUGGCUGUCGUCAGCUCGUGUCGUGAGAUGUUGGGUUAAGUCCCGNAACGAGCGCAACCCUUUUCCUUAUUUGCCAGCGGGUCAUGCCGGGAACUUUUAAGGAUACUGCCAGUGACAAACUGGAGGAAGGCGGGGACGACGUCAAGUCAUCAUGGCCCUUACGGCCAGGGCUACACACGUGCUACAAUGGUCGGUACAAAGGGUUGCUACCUCGCGAGAGGAUGCUAAUCUCAAAAAGCCGAUCGUAGUCCGGAUCGCAGUCUGCAACUCGACUGCGUGAAGUCGGAAUCGCUAGUAAUCGCGGAUCAGAAUGCCGCGGUGAAUACGUUCCCGGGCCUUGUACACACCGCCCGUCACACCAUGGGAGUUUGUUGCACCAGAAGUAGGUAGUCUAACCGCAAGGAGGACGCUUACCACGGUGUGGCCGAUGACUGGGGUGAAGUCGUAACAAGGUAGGCGUAGAUGA